rnacentral:rRNA from 1 species
UACGUAGGGGGCAAGCGUUAUCCGGAUUCACUGGGCGUAAAGGGAGCGCAGGCGGCACGGCAAGUCCGGUGUGAAAGCCCGGGGCCCAACCCCGGGACUGCACUGGAAACUGCCGGGCUGGGGUGUCGGAGGGGCAGGCGGAAUUCCUGGUGUAGCGGUGAAAUGCGUAGAUAUCAGGAGGAACACCGGUGGCGAAGGCGGCCUGCUGGACGAUGACUGACGCUGAGGCUCGAAAGCGUGGGGAGCAAACAGG